rnacentral:rRNA from 1 species
GACGAACGCUGGCGGCGUGCUUAACACAUGCAAGUCGAACGGUGACCCAGGGCUUGCCCUGGUGAUCAGUGGCGAACGGGUGAGUAACACGUGGGCAACCUGCCCCCUGACUUCGGGAUAACUCCUCGAAAGAGGAGCUAAUACCGGAUACGACCACUUCGGACAUCCGAUGGUGGUGGAAAGUUCUUCGGUCAGGGAUGGGCCCGCGGCCUAUCAGCUAGUUGGUGGGGUAAUGGCCUACCAAGGCGACGACGGGUAGCCGGCCUGAGAGGGCGACCGGCCACACUGGGACUGAGACACGGCCCAGACUCCUACGGGAGGCAGCAGUGGGGAAUAUUGCGCAAUGGGCGAAAGCCUGACGCAGCGACGCCGCGUGAGGGAUGAAGGCCUUCGGGUUGUAAACCGUCUUUCAGCAGGGACGAAGCGAAAGUGACGGUACCUGCAGAAGAAGCACCGGCUAACUACGUGCCAGCAGCCGCGGUAAU